rnacentral:tRNA from 1 species
GCCCCGAUAGCUCAUCAGGUAGAGCAGCGGCCUUGUAAACCGCUUGUGGCCGGUUCGAGUCCGGCUCGGGGCU